AUCUGCACAACUUGUUGCUCAGGUAUUUUGAAGACAAGUCCACAAGGGAACAAGUGAAGCUGCCAGCAUGAUCUAUCUUUGGUUAAGAGAUGAAUGUGUAAACAUAUUGCUUAAACCCAAGCUAGGUCAUGCUCUGACAGCCUCACUCCUUCCUGGUUUAGGACCAUUCACUGAUAAAGCAUUCCACAUGCCGAU
rnacentral:pre_miRNA from 1 species